rnacentral:SRP_RNA from 1 species
GAGCUUGGUCCCACGCAACGAAAAUUCAUGAACCCCGUCAGAUCUGGAAGGAAGCAGCGGUAAGUGAACCCUUUCGUGUGCCGUGGAAAAACCUGGUUUGAGC